rnacentral:sRNA from 1 species
UAUCUACCAUCCGUCUGAGGUUUUUCG